AAAGAAAGGGAAAAAAGGAGAAAUUUAGAUUGUGGAAAAUGAGAAGCUGCUUAUCAGGGGAAAUAUGGAUGUGUGAUGCCAGGGUGGGGCAAUUUUCUCUCCAGUUCCUGUGCUUCCUCUGAGGUGGUUUGACUUUAGAAAUACAUAAAAGAAAGGUGACUUCUUGUUUGUUUCCUGUAUUGGAAAAGAUGGAAUGGGAAGAGGGGGCAGAUUUUGCACCACUAAUGUUGCAGGAGUAGAGGCAUUCCCUUACUGUUUGUUGAUAUUGAAAACAGCCUGAAAUGGCUUUUUGCCUUUUUCCUGGGAAAAAUAACAGGAAUAUCAAAGGAUUAUAUAAGUUAGGAAAGAAGCAAGCAGCCUCAACGUGAAUUUUGUGUUUGCUGUGGUGUGAAGAGAAACACUGUGUUGGAGGUGGCAGUGAAGAUGAUUUCUGGGGAUGCAGUCAUCUGAUCUUCCCUCCCCUCUGCAUCCCCUGAUCCUCACCAAAAUGGCUGGAAAGAGCUUCUCUUGUGCCCUGGAGUUUUCCCUGAGAUUAUUUCUACUACUUCAGCAAGCUCAGUAGAGCUACUGGAUGCUCAGAAGGACUUUCUGGUCUGGACUUUACACAUUUGGACCCUGUUCAACAGAUGCUGCCUGAAGGAAAGAGCAGAGCUGGAGGCUUGUGCCUUGGGCCUGUGGGGGAUUGUCCCAGGAUGCCUUGAGGAUUCUACAUGAGACCUGAAUUCAUUCCAAACCAGGAAUGGCUUUAAAUAUUUGCUUCAAGAAUUUGAAUUCUUUUGUUAUUCUCUUCAUCUGGAGCAGCUGUAAAAGGUAAUGAUGUAAUAAUUUUUUCCUCAAAGGAAAAAAGAGCAUAACCUGCUUGGUGCUGUGAUAACCAAGGGCAGGAGGGGAUGGUUUCUAGAGGAAGCAAUAUUGUAAAAACAGAAAGUGCUUCAAAAAGCACAACAUCCCAAACUUCUGGCUUCUUAUGUCAGAAUAUAAAUAUAAUUAUUAUGUAGAAACA
rnacentral:lncRNA from 1 species